rnacentral:lncRNA from 1 species
UCUACUUGAGUUUUCAAACAAUUUCCCCAACUUUUCUUUCAAAAAUUACUUUCAGAAUCGCUUCUUUUCUAUUUAGGGUUUUCUGAAAAUGCUUAAAGUGUUUAUCUGACUUCCUCUACCUCUUAGUUUGUGUGUAUUUGUCUCUAUUGUGUUCUUAUGUUCUUCUUUUACCACGUAUGUUCUUUUACUGUUCUUUCUAUACUCCGUUCUUUCUUCUACUAUGUUUUCGAUGCUAUGUUCUGGUAUUUUCUUCCACUAUGUUCUGAUAUGCUUCGCCUACUGUAUUCUUCUACCAUGUUCUUAAG